GCAAGUCGAGCGGUAAGGCUCCUGCAGUUUAUUUGAUUACGAUGGCUUUAGUCAUCACAGCAAACCGAAUCAACCCGGCUAGGGAAGAAACGGAGAGGGAAAAUCGAAUGAAGUGCUGGAGUACACGAGCGGCGGACGGCUGAGUAACGCGUAGGAACGUACCCCAAACUGAGGGAUAAGCACCAGAAAUGGUGUCUAAUACCGCAUGUGAUCUCCGGAUUAAAGCUUCGGCGGUUUGGGAACGGCCUGCGUACGAUUAGAUAGUUGGUAGGGUAAUGGCCUACCAAGUCGACGAUCGUUAGCUGGUCUGAGAGGAUGAUCAGCCAGACUGGGACUGAGAACGGCCCAGACUCCUACGGGAGGCAGCAGUAGGGAAUUUUCCACAAUGGGGGCAACCCUGAUGGAGCAACGCCGCGUGCAGGAUGAAGGCCCUCGGGUCGUAAACUGCUUUUAUAUGUGACGAAUAUGACGGUAGCAUAUGAAUAAGGAUCGGCUAACUCCGUG
rnacentral:rRNA from 1 species